AUAUUAAUGCAAGAUUAUUUUUUGGAGAAUCCUACAUAUCCUGCACACCUCUUCCGCAGAAGGUACCGAAUGCGUCGAUCCCUUUUUGUGAAAAUUGUUGAAGCUUGCGAGGCAAAUUGCCGGUACUUCACUCAAAGAAGGAAUGCCGCGGGCUUAAAGGGAUUUAGUGCAUAUCAAAAAAUCUCCGCAGCUAUGCGGGUGAUAGCAUAUGGCGUUCCGGCUGACUAUGCCGAUGAGUAUCUUCGCAUUGGUGAAGAUAGCACAAUUGAGUCUGUGCGUAGAUUUGCGAAAGUGAUCGUCCGUGUCUUUGGUCCCAAGUAUCUUCGGGCACCAAAUGAAGAUGACACAAAGAAAUUGAUGGCAGCUAAUGAGAGGAGAGGUUGGCCUGGGAUGCUAGGUAGCAUUGAUUGUAUGCAUUGGAAUUGG
rnacentral:rRNA from 1 species